GGCAGUACUGAGGAAGUCACUUGAGAUCUUAAUUGUAGCCUCAUCUUAAGCACCCGAAUAGAAGAUUGAUUGGAUGGUUCUAAUCACUGAAAUUUGUAAUGGACUCUCGAUGCACAACAGAUCUAAAUUGUGCAUAUUUUAUGCAGUGUAAAUGGUCCAUUCUCAAGUCAAGUAAAUGAUAGUCCAUUCUCAAAUCAAGUAAACGAUAGUCUAUUCUCAAGUAAAUUUGUAAUCUAUUAUCAA
rnacentral:lncRNA from 1 species